rnacentral:rRNA from 1 species
GACGAACGCUGGCGGCGUGCUUAACACAUGCAAGUCGAACGGAAAGGCCCGGAUUUUGUGGGGUGCUCGAGAGGCGAAAGGGUGAGAAAAACGUGAGUAACAUGCCCUUGACUUUGGGAGAACUUCAGGAAAAUGGGGCUAAUACAGGAUAGGAGCUCCUGCCGCAUGGUGGGGGUUGGAAAGUUUCGGCGGUUGGGGAGGGACUCGCGGCUUAUCAGCUUGUGGGUGGGGUAGAGGCUUACCAAGGCUUUGACGGGUAGCCGGCCUGAGAGGGUGACCGGCCACACUGGGACUGAGAUACGGCCCAGACUCCUACGGGAGGCAGCAGUGGGGAAUAUUGCACAAUGGGCGGAAGCCUGAUGCAGCAACGCCGCGUGCGGGAUGACGGCCUUCGGGUUGUAAACCUCUUUCGCCUGUGACGAAGCGUGAGUGACGGUAAUUGGUAAAGAAGCACCGGCUAACUACGUG